CGUGACGGCCUCCGCCGCCAUGUUGUGCCUGGAGCGCGGCGUCGUUCGUGAGGUGCUGCGGCGGGGCCUGGGCGGAGCCUCUCCGCGGCUGCCGGGCAGCGGGGCGGACCUCACCGCAACGAGGAAGAGCGAGUACCGCAUAAAAAGUCCUGACAGCAAAGACAGACCUUGGCCGAGCUGGGUGUCUGCACUCAAGGCUACUGGAAAGUUUGGUAACUAGGAUGUGGAGAUAAAUAUAUGAGACUAUCCAAGCGAAGCAGUACUCCCCAGGCGAAGCAGUACUCCCCAGGUUACUUCAAAGCAGAACCUUUAAGAUAAGAAACGAAGAUGCAUACCAGUACCAGUCAGAAAGAGAUAAGAAGAAUGCUGGUGAAAGCAUCAUCGUUGGAACCUAUCCAGGACUCAAAAGGUGAAAAGUACACAGCGAGGAAGACGUCUUACUUCAUCUGAGGAAGACUACUUACUUCAUCUUGAGACCCCUGCCCACGACCACCAGGAGGCACUGCGCAAGCGCAGAACAUAUGGAAAUGACUUUUGUACUCAUUAUAAUACGAAGCGGGGAUAGGUCAUGAAUAUGUAUCAGCAUAGUGGGAAAGGUGAUGCAUAUGUAAUACUUUACAGGAUAAAUUGUGAGCACGUUGUAACGGUCUUCGGAACCAGAUUUGGGUGGGUACCCCUGGUUCCCGGGGCCUCGGAAUAAAGCACCACAUAUAACCUC